rnacentral:rRNA from 1 species
CCUACGGGAGGCAGCAGUAGGGAAUAUUGCGCAAUGGGCGAAAGCCUGACGCAGCGACGCCGCGUGCGGGAUGAAGGUCUUCGGAUUGUAAACCUCUGUCAGCAGGGAAGAACGGUCACUGUGCUAAUCAGCAGUGAAUUGACGGUACCUGCAAAGGAAGCAACGGCUAACUCCGUGCCAGCAGCCGCGGUAAUACGUAGGGUGCGAGCGUUAAUCGGAAUUAUUGGGCGUAAAGCGCUCGUAGGCGGUAUGUCAAGUCAAGGGUGAAAUCCCCGGGCUCAACGUGGGAACUGCCUUUGAAACUGGCAAACUGGAGUGUGUUAGAGGAUAGUGGAAUUCCAGGUGUAGGAGUGAAAUCCGUAGAUAUCUGGAGGAACAUCAGUGGCGAAGGCGACUAUCUGGCACAUAACUGACGCUGAGGAGCGAAAGCGUGGGUAGCAAACAGGAUUAGAUACCCUUGUAGUC